rnacentral:tRNA from 1 species
GGUGUUGUGGUUCAAUGGUAGAAUGCUCGUCUAGCACAUAUGAGGCACUGGGUUCAAUCCUCAGCACCA